rnacentral:misc_RNA from 1 species
AGCCUCCAAAUACCAUGAAUAAGAUACUUCUAAGCCCAUUUUGUCAUUGGCUAAGUUCUCAUCAAAAUUGUAGCUCCUUUUGCCUUAAAAUGCUUGAUAUGUGUUUUGCUUCUUUUUGUGCUUAAUUCACCUCUUUAUGCUUCAUAAGCUCUUAUAAACACCUACUAACAUAAAAAAUAAGCAUUAAGAAGCUAAUUAAAUAAGAAACAAACUCAAAAGACUAAGUAUGCAAUGAUAAAGAU